CAGUUUCCAUGAUUAACCACAGAGCAUGAAUUCUCAUCAAGAUAAACUUCAUCUGCUGUCUGGCUACAUGUGAUGUAUUUAAGAGAAUACAUUGAAUUGGAACUCGACAGCCUUAGCUAAAGUCACCCUCUUCAUAAGCUCAGUUUCCUCAAAAGAACCAUAAACCAUAGACCAUUAGAAAAUAAAGUCAGCAUAACUUUUGCCCAGGGCAAGAGGUGGUUGUUGUGGCCAUAAUGUACACAAGCAGCCACAGAGCAAUUGCAUGGUGCAGUGUUAAGAAAACUUCCAAAAGGAUUUAGGUUCACUAAGGAAAAGACCAUUUCUGAAAAAAUGCAAGGAAUCAAACAAGGAUAAGAAAUUUGACAUAAUAUCCAAUCACAACACUCUUUUGUUGGUUUAACUGAAACAAAUAUCCUCGUGCAAAAGGAUUUGAUGGAUGGCAUUGUUUCUUUAACAGCCCAUGUGAUACGAACCAUUAUGGUUCAGAUGAUGAUAAUAAUAGCCAGAUAUUGAUGACACAAAUAAUAAUAUAACUUUCAUAUAAUAUAUUUUUAUGUUAAUAGUUCUACUGUGUGACCAUCAAUCUGACAGUGUCCCAAGUCUUCUCAAAAUCUUUAUGAAAGCUGUUAACAGAAAAGAGCACCAAACACUAUUAAUCUGAUAGGGUUUCAUGGCAUCCUUCAGUCUGUUAAUUGUAUUAACACAAACUCAGUAAAAUCACUUAAUUCCUGAAAUAUGUCUUGCUUACAGGGCCUAUCUUAGGGCAAAGGGCCUAAGCCUAGUUCACAGUGACAGUUCAAAUGUAUAUAGAAGUCACCACUUCUUGCACUAGCUCCGUUUUAAUAUUUUAUAAAAUCUCAUAUGAUAGAACACAUGACUAAUGACUCUCUCCCUGAAAAUUAUUUCAGAGAUAUCUCCCAUGAAGGCAACCCUCCUAGCUCAACCCUCUCUCUUACACACACCAAGAGGGGAGAAAAGCAAACAAACAAAAAACAAAACAUAGCAAAGCCAAACAAUCAAACAAACAAACAAAAACAGUAGACCAUAGAGACAUUCAGUUUCCUUAUAUGGUAACCUACGGCAACUUAAAAGCUUAUUUUGCCCUAAUGCCCUACUCAUUUUGAGCAUUUUUUUUUUCUGACACCAGUAAAUGCCUAGAAUCACAAAACCUGUCCUUUUAACAACACUAUACCAACUUAAAACAGAAUUAUAAGCGAGUGAUUUUAUAUUGUGUGCUCAUGGAACUCAACUUCUCAACUGAACCAGGCCUUCCUCACUGCUUGCAUAUCCCAGCAUUUCAGUUGUUUAAACCUCACAUUCCUGUGUGGUGUCAUUCGCGUUUGUUUGUAGGGGAACGCGUUUGUUUAUUAGCCAAAAGUUAGCUUUGCUACCUGGACAGCUAGCUGCAGUAGCCGAACAGUAAGUUAGCCACAUGUAACACUCCCUCAGCGGUUUUGUAGUAUCUCCUGAAAGACAACGCCGUGAAACCCAGGAGGGCCCGUCUGCUUACCAACAAUGGACGUUCCCUUUCCUGCAUCAAAGAAUAAUCCAGAGAUGACAAAGGUGGCUGUCCCGAAUCUACGGCAGUUAAAGUGACAUCAUAUUGAAACUCUUUCUCCCUGUCCAGUGGGGAGCUAGUGAUUAAGGAGUAUAUGUUAUCCUGUGAGGACGCCACCAGUUUAAAAGGCCUAGAAUCCUCUGAGACUGCUCUUGAGAAGGAUGUCACCUUAAUCUCAGGGUUUUGGCAUCAACCCCUAAAUCCUUUGCGAUGUUGCCCACGACUGCUCCAUCCUCCUGUUCUUCCGAAAUGGAAUAUCGUAUUUGCGCCAAAGAUCCUCUCCAGAACAAAAAGGCAAAACCGAAGAUAAGCGACUGCAGUGACUUCCACCACGAUGGACGUCGUCUUUGUUCCAUAUUC